rnacentral:rRNA from 1 species
AUUGAACGCUGGCGGCGUGCUUAACACAUGCAAGUCGAUCGGUAACAGGUGUAGCAAUACAUGCUGACGAGAGGCGGACGGGUGAGUAAUGCUUGGGAAUCUGCCUAUUAGUGGGGGACAACCCGGGGAAACUCGGGCUAAUACCGCAUACGCUCUACGGAGGAAAGCCGGGGACCGCAAGGCCUGGCGCUAAUAGAUGAGCCCAAGUCGGAUUAGCUAGUUGGUAGGGUAANGGCCUACCAAGGCGACGAUCCGUAACUGGUCUGAGAGGACGACCAGUCACACCGGAACUGAGACACGGUCCGGACUCCUACGGGAGGCAGCAGUGGGGAAUAUUGGACAAUGGGCGAAAGCCUGAUCCAGCGACGCCGCGUGGGUGAAGAAGGCCUGCGGGUUGUAAAGCCCUUUCAGUGGGGAAGAAAAGACCUCGACCUAACACGUCGGGGUCUUGACGUAACCCAUAGAAGAAGCACCGGCUAACUCUGUGCCAGCCGCCGCUGUAAC